UCUACAAAUCAACCAUCAGUUGAAAAGAAGACAAAAACAAACUCAGUUUUUACUUAUAAUUUUAUUUUGCCUGGCCCGCAUAUCGCUCUUUCAGCUCCACCCAAUCAGGAGUAAAUCAUUUCUAAGGACAGCCAUAAAUAUUGCUCAGAAUCUGCGCUGACAAUCUUGAACCUGAGCAACACAGCUUCGGCCAGCUACUCCACACACCGCCUGCACACUGGUGCCGGAGUCAGCAGAAUCGUUGUGUACGGUAGAACCACGCCCGAACGAACAGCCCCCUAGCCGUCCCAUGGGUUAAGAGGGAACUUUUCCCCCAGUUUGCCACUGCAUGCUACUACUGCAGGACGUUCACCCAUCCGGAUAGUUGUAAUAAUUUUCUGAUAACGGAGCAGACGCAGCAGAAAGUUUUUCUUGUUGCUCUCGUCGAGAAAACACCCGCUUACACAACCCACGCAUACAGCCAAAUCGUGGGCGAGAAGAGCCACCGUCAGCGGUUGUUGCGGGUGGCAAUCGUUAGCAAUCGGCAAAUCUCUCUACGCGACCGAAGCAGCCACAGCAAAGCGGGCAACACUAACAAGCAAUAUUCCAGCUUCCUUCCAUGCGUACAAUGGUGCGUUUUUUUCCUUCUAUACACAUAGGAACAAUAAGGGUAAGGGUCUGAAAAAAAGAACACAUGAUGAACUAUCGGAAAUAAGGAAAACAACGGUUGACAGAGAGCGGGGUUCCAUCGUAACCGGAUGCUAUCAUCUUGACCUCUCUUUGAUCCGGAAAUUUCGCCUACGUCUUCGAGCGGAUUGUCCUGGUCCUCGCGUAUUUUGUAGCUUUUCUGCCUCCGUUUCGUGCGUGUGUGUGUUUGAGUGUACACAGUGCUUGCAUAGUAGUGGUAUUAUCACAAACAAAAAAGAUGAUCGCAUAUAAUUUAGAGCUCCGCUUUACCGAUUUCACUGCAGUGGUGAGAGGACAUAGAAACAGUUUGAAUAAACAGUAUGUUUGACAAAGUUUCC